rnacentral:rRNA from 1 species
UACGUAGGGGGCAAGCGUUGUCCGGAAUCAUUGGGCGUAAAGCGCGCGUAGGUGGCUUCGUAAGUCCGUUGUGAAAGUCAAAGGCUCAACCUUUGAAAGCCGAUGGAUACUGCGGAGCUAGAGUACGGAAGAGGCGAGUGGAAUUCCAGGUGUAGCGGUGAAAUGCGUAGAUAUCUGGAGGAACACCGGUGGCGAAGGCGACAUCCUGGACCGGUAUUGACGCUGAGGCGCGAAAGCCAGGGGAGCAAACGGG